GACGAACGCUGGCGGCGUGCCUAAUACAUGCAAGUUGAGCGCUGAAGGUUGGUACUUGUACCAACUGGAUGAGCAGCGAACGGGUGAGUAACGCGUGGGGAAUCUGCCUUUGAGCGGGGGACAACAUUUGGAAACGAAUGCUGAUACCGCAUAAAAACUUUAAACACAAGUUUUAAGUUUGAAAGAUGCAAUUGCAUCACUCAAAGAUGAUCCCGCGUUGUAUUAGCUAGUUGGUGAGGUAAAGGCUCACCAAGGCGAUGAUACAUAGCCGACCUGAGAGGGUGAUCGGCCACAUUGGGACUGAGACACGGCCCAAACUCCUAUGGGAGGCAGCAGUAGGGAAUCUUCGGCAAUGGACGAAAGUCUGACCGAGCAACGCCGCGUGAGUGAAGAAGGUUGUCGGAUCGUAAAACUCUGUUGGUAGAGAAGAACGUUGGUGAGAGUGGAAAGCUCAUCAAGUGACGGUAACUACCCAGAAAGGGACGGCUAACUACGUG
rnacentral:rRNA from 1 species